rnacentral:lncRNA from 1 species
CUUGUUCCCACACUGUUACCCCAUUUCUCCCAGCAUUCUACCAUCCACCUCACCCAGCACAGAGCUCCAUGCCCUUUCCAGAGCUCCCAGGCUCCUUAGCACAGACAGUGCCCUUGAUGUCUGCACAAGGCCAAGCCAGGCCUGCUGUGGAUCCCCAGAGUCUCCCAACCCUUCCCUGUGUCACAAUAAAAAGUGAUGGAACCAAGAGGGUUGAAAAGAACCAAGUCACAGUCUGGCCCCAAAUGCUUCAUUGUAUGCCCGUCACCAACAACAUUGCCGGUCCAACUCGGACACCCGCUGUGCAGGUGAGGCCCGUUGCCAGGGCUGGACGGAUUGCAAGGCCCAUGGGUGUUACCAGGGGGAUGCCUGUGGGUGCCAGCCUUCCACCUUGUGCCAAGUCUGGGUCGGCUGCCAAGACCUCUAUGGAGCUUGGUGUGCUGGUUGGGAAUGAGGGUCUAAGGGUCAAGGAGGAGUCUCCGAAACUCGUCCAGAGCCUUACGGCCAAAGCCUGUGUGAAAGAUGAGGAGGAGGUGGAGGAUAGGCUAUACAUGAUUAAGCUGGAGGAGCAGAGGAAGAAGCGUGAGGAGGUGCUGAGGCAGAAGGAGCUGGGGCGACAACAGCAAGCCAUGGAGAGGAAAAGGGCCAUGAGGGAACGGAACAAUCAGCAGCAUGACAAAGAAUGGGGACAUGGGCAUCCCCACCAAGGGUGGAACCCUCCCCUGCCACACCCUUAUAGUUGCAAAGCGGAUCCCAGAAGAUGCCUCAAGCUGGACAGCAGGUCCUGA